UACGAAGGGGGCUAGCGUUGUUCGGAUUUACUGGGCGUAAAGCGCACGUAGGCGGAUCUUUAAGUCAGAGGUGAAAUCCCAAGGCUCAACCUUGGAACUGCCUUUGAUACUGGGGAUCUUGAGUCCGGGGGAGGUGAGUGGAACUGCGAGUGUAGAGGUGAAAUUCGUAGAUAUUCGCAAGAACACCAGUGGCGAAGGCGGCUCACUGGCCCGGUACUGACGCUUAGGUGCGAAAGCGUGGGGAGCAAACAGG
rnacentral:rRNA from 1 species